rnacentral:rRNA from 1 species
GACGAACGCUGGCGGCGUGCUUAACACAUGCAAGUCGAACGGAAAGGCCCUGCUUUUGUGGGGUGCUCGAGUGGCGAACGGGUGAGUAACACGUGAGUAACCUGCCCUUGACUUUGGGGUAACUUCAGGAAACUGGGGCUAAUACCGGAUAGGAGCUCCUGCUGCAUGGUGGGGGUUGGAAAGUUGCGGCUGUUGGGGAUGGACUCGCGGCUUAUCAGCUUGUUGGUGGGGUAGUGGUUUACCAAGGGUUUGACGCAUAGCCGGCCUGAGAGGGUGACCGGGCACCUGGGUCCUACGAGACGCACCAGUGUGCUACGGUAGGCAGCAGUGGGGAAUCUGGCACAACGGGCGCACGUCUGUUGCAGCAGCGCCGGGUGCGGGAUGACCGCCUUCGGGUUGUAAACCGCUUUAGCUUGUGACGAAGCGGUAGUGACGGUAAUGGGUAAAGAAGCACCGGCUAACUACGUG